rnacentral:lncRNA from 1 species
GUGGACUGUUGACUGAUGACGUGGCGCAAUCCUGAGCGUCCAAACUGUUUUUAAUCCGAUGGCCAUGAUUUACUCCAUGUAUCUAUAAAAAGGGGGCCUCCCCCCCCUAAUUUGAUAUCUCUGAAUCCAUUUUUGGGAUCCAUUUUCUGUAAUUCCUUCUCCAUCUUGUAUUUUCUUCGUAUUUUAAUAAAUUCUCAUUUUGCCUCUAGUUCAACUAUGAGUGGCUAAUUUUCUUUCAAGCUUGGGUUGAAGGUGAAGUCUCAACAUGUGUCAUGGGCUUAAUUUGGUAAAUUUAUUUUCUCUUCCCCUCUAAUUUUUGUGGAUGUUUUGACUUCUCGUCGACAAAUAAUAAUAGUCUUGUCUAGAUACCGCCUUGGUUACACCGGCUCUCUAGUAUAAGGUUAUUAUUAUUUGGCACGAUAAGCCCUUAGCACCAUAUUGAUUAGAGCGUGGUUCAUGAGGUGUGGAUUCCCCCCUCAUGAUUUAAUUGGCAUUAAUACGGAUUAUUUAGCCCAUGAUGCAUGUUGAUACGGAUCCAGAUACCCAAGUACGUCAUUUCAAUAGAUCUUCGCUUCAAUUUAUUCUCGUCAUUUCAAUUCCAAUUUCAGAAUUUAUUAUCGCCAUUUUAAUUUAAGUUUUAGCAUAUUCCAAUCAUUUCCACCACAAAUCCAAUCACCCAUUCACAAAAAUUAAUUCUACACAAUUAAAAUCCACCUCCUCGUGGGAUCGACACUCGUCACCAUUAAUCUAUACUACAACAGAUUCGUGCGCUUGCGAGUACAUUAAAAUUUGCACAACACUUACUGCUUUUUAAAUUACUAUAGAGACAAGCUUAAUGUUGUUUCAUGACCGUUAAGCUUGAGGAGGAGUGUUAAGAUGCUUAAUCAACAGCAGCAGACCAGUGGCUGAGAUUUGUGCGACAAGGAUUGCUGAGCUGAACAAAUUAGUUAAGUUGUUGUAAUUAGUUUUGGUUUAGCCAAUAGAUGUAUUACAGUUGUACAAAAGGUUGUUAUUACUGUUGAUCAACAAUAUAAGUUUGCUACGAGCUAAAUGUAAUUCAUAUAAUUCAUAUCAAUAAAAUUUUCUCUGAUUUAGUUACUUUUCUUUCUUCUUUCCGUCACUUUCCUGCUAGCCAAACAAACUAUCAACCUAAGAUCCGUGAGUUCUAACUUUUACAAAUGUAAUAAUUACCAUGAAUUUGCAAAAACUUGCAGCAAAUAUUUGUGUCCCAAUAGGUUGACAAUUGCAACACAUAUCGAAAAACUGUAAUAGUACCCUUGAUUAUAAUUACUUGACCAUAGUCAGUGGCGAACUAUGUAUACGCCUGGCAGCCGAGGUGUCAGGAAUUUAAUUUAAUAGGGGUGCCUAAGUUCAAACACUAACAUAAUUAAAAAAAUGGUCAAUAAAUAACAAAUAUUAAAAUAUUUAGGGCUAGUUUGGCAAUCUUAUAACUUUUAAAAUAAUUGUUGUUACUUGCGCUAUAAAAAUAAUAAGUUGUGAAUGGAAUUAGUUAAACGUUUGACAAAAUUUCUUCUUAAAAGUGCUUUUGUAAAUCUCAUUGUUGAACUAUUAUAAGAGUUUAAAUGAUUAAAAUGGACAUAAUAUUAAAUAAAAUAUAUUAUAUAGAUAUAAAUACAUACAUAUAAUAUUUUUUAUUAUGUAUAUUAGUAACUGAUAACUAAAAUAAUUAUCUUUGUUUUAUUAAUUAUUUUUUAUCUCAAUAUAAUUAGUAAUAAUAAUAAUCUCUAGAUUUAAUAAUUUUAUUUCCUAAUUGAAUAAGGAUAAUUUUAGAUUUUUAUAAUAUAUGUAAGGAUAUAUAUGGAAUUUUAUUAAUUAGAAAACUUAUCCUGAAAAUUAGAUUUUGAAAGCCUACUUCUUUUUUGCUUUCCAAAAUAUACUGUAUAUAAGAUAGAGUGAUUUUACCGAAAGUGAUUUUAAAAAAAAAAUCUACCAAACAGUAAAAUUAAAGUUUAGCUUUUAAAAUCACUUUUAAGUCUCUCAAAAGCAAUCUCAAAUAGGCCCUUAAUUCAAUACAGUUAUAAUUGUUCUCAUGUAUUUUCAUAUGUUAAAAAUAUUGAAGAAUAACCUCAUUAUCAUUACUACAAACAUAUUUUCUUCUACGUAUACAAUAAAACUAUCAUUCAACAAUUGGUUUCCCAUAUGAUUUUGUGGAAGAUUUUUCAGAAAAUUCAUAGCUGAAAAUACCCUUUCUAAUUUAGUUUUGUUACCUGAUAAAAUCAUUGCUAAUGUUACCAACAUAUAAAUUAAUGAAUACAACUAUCCAUUAUCUCAACCAUUUUUCUUGCUAACUCACCAGUCUCUUUUAAUCUUAAAAAUGUUGUCAAAACCCACAUUCAUAAUAUAAUCAUCAAGUUGAAUUUCAAGUGCCAUAAUGCAACAAUCUUUCUUUAUGGGUUCAAAAUGUUAAAAAGAAUAUUUAAUAUUUUACUUGUUUUUAAAUUUUAACAAGGGUGUUAUGGUAAAUCAAAUAAAAAUAGGACAAAUAUUAAAAUAAAUUUUAAAAAAAUUAAAAAAUUGAAAAAGGGUUUCAGCCCCUGCUAAAAUGGCACCACAUCUAAAGCCUAGGGUGCCUUGAGGCAACAUACCAAUAAUAAUAAUAAAGAAAGAAAUCAAGAAAAAAAAGACAUAAUAAUACGUAGUAACAUUAGCAAUGUUAAUUGUAUUUUAUGUUUUGACCCCUAUAAUUUUACAAGUUGAUUUUAUGUUACCGCCUACUCAAAUUUAUGGUUUUGGUCAUUGUGUUUGGCCCUCUCAAUUUUAGUGAUUAUAUACUGUAUGAAAUGUAAGUUAUGCAACCCAAGAGGGGGGUGAAUUGAGAUUUUAAAACUUACGCUAAACAAUUCGCACAACAAUUUAAUGUAUUGCCUUAAUCAAAUGUAAAAACAAUAAAUUCAGUAAAACACAAUACUAAAAGAGUAAGUACAAUAAUAAAAGAGUAAGGGAAAAGAAAGCAAACACAACAAUUUUUACGUGGUUCGGCAAUCCUCGCUUACGUCCACGCCUCCAAGCCAACCAAACUCGAGGAUUUCACUAUCAAAGCCUCCCAAAUCUUUAAGUUCUUACAAUUAACUUCCAAGGUGUCAAUGAACCUUUACAAUCAAGAGAUUAUCUCUCCAAUCUAUUCACCCCAAUUAUUUCUCACACUUGUACACUUACAAUUUGAUGAGAAAUGAACAAUUACAACAAAAACUCUCUUUAAGAGUGGAUUUGCAAAUAAUAGCAUAAUAAUGAUUCAAUAAAUGAUGAUUUACGAAAUGGAACCUCAAUAUGUGUUAUAUGAUCUUAUUUAUGCUUGCAUUAGUCUUGAAAAUGAAGAUGGAGUUAAGGUUUUAUAGCUAAAGCCCAAAAACUAACCGUUAUAGGCAAAUUCCAGCGCUCAAGCGGUUAGCCGCUUGAUUUAUCCAACUAGCCGCUCCAGAACAAUGAUGUUACCAUUAAAUUUGAAUUUUCCGAUAGUAUCAUUGUUCAUUAAAUUACAUUUGUGACCAAAACUUUCUAUAAUUAUAUUAUAGCCCAACAUGUCAUAAAACUUUGCAAAUAAGUCUAAUUUCAGAAUUUCUAAAUAAUACCUGUCAUUCCUAAAUCUUAUUGUAAUUAUGAUAUGACCUAGUAUAUAAUAACAUUUUUCAAAAAGUCCUUUUCAAAAUUUAAAAUAAUACCCAUAAAUUUUAAAGUUCUCAAAUCUUUUCAAUUUAGUCCAAAAUUUAAAAAUAUGAGACUUUCCUCAAGCGGUUAGCCGCUCACUCUCUGUUCAAUUUUUUAUUUCAAUUGUUUGGAUUACGUUUUGGUCCUCAAACUUUCUUAAAUUGUAAUAUGACCCAAAAUAUUUCAAAUAUUUGCAAAUAAAUCUAAAUUCGAAAUUCAAAAUUCAAAUUUCAAAACAAUAUUUAAUAAAAUAAAAGAUUGCAAAACUUUUUCAUUUUAGUCCAAAUUACUCAAAUCCACAAAAUACUUUAUCUUAUAAAUAUAAAACCUUUUAGUUUAUGAAAGGUAAUUAUUUAAAUAAACUCUUGAGUUUCUCAAAUGCUAAAUCAUGUAUCAAUUAAAUCAUACCGACUUUACAAGAAUUUGUCACAAUAAUUUGUUCGUUGAGCUUUAAACUUUAUUCUUGAUUUUGCCGUUGUCCGUUGAGUGUCUUGAACUUGAUUCACUUGCAUAAAUAUUAUCCUUAAAAAACUAGUAAAAAUGUGAAAUACAAUAUUUAUUAAAUCACUUAAGACACAUGUUUGUUAUCAUCAAAAUUACAUUAUGGGUAGCCCUUUAGGCUAACACUGUAGCCUACUCAAGUAUAUAGUUUCUUCAUUAGGCCCCAAAACCAAAAUCCUAAAAGUAUCUCCAAAAAGUUCUAUUAAUUUUACUCUUCAAAUAUUUAUUUGCUUACCUAUGUGGUAAAAAUGAGAGUGAAAAAAUAUGUUAUUCUCCAAAAGACUCUUUAAAUAGAAAUAAGUUAAUAUUAUUUUAAUCAAAUAAAUAUUUUUUCAAAGGAAAAAUAAAUGGUAAUUAAAGCAUUUCUCUCUCUUUCUCCCCAAUAAAAAGUAAUAAAAUAUAAAUUGAAGAGAGAGAAAGUAACUCUACAAAUUAAAGAGAGAGAAUUAUUUCUUAUUUGAAAAAUCUUAAUUAGAGUAUCUUUUGAAGUCUUAAAUACUGAUGUAACUCUUCAAAUAAGUAAUAAAAUCUUAUUUGAAGAUUUUUUUAGAGAUGCUCUAACUUCACCACUAGAUUUACUUGAGUAUUCAACAAUACUCGACUUACUCGAGCGUAGGUGAUUUAGUUAUACUUAAUUGACUACUAAAACAAUUUAUUCGACUUACUCGACGAUACUUUACUUAGGUCACUCCAUGUACUAAUAUUUUACUAUUUUUCUAAGUGGUACAUUUAAUUACAAAAAUCCAUGAAAAUUUGAUAAUGAUGAAAUGCUUAAUAAAUAAGGGUAUUUGGUCGAAUCAUAACAAUGUUUGUUAAACACUGGUCUAAUAAUAAGUAGUCAUUUUCUGAUGAAAUAAAAUUAAAGCUGACAAAAUUUAACAUGACUGGUUUACUCUAUACAAAUACAACAUGAAUAAAUAUGUAUCUAUCAUGAAAAUUGACAUGAUUAUUAAAUGAAUUUGGUCUAAGUCAACCCAAUUGUUUCCCGUGUCAGGCUAGAAUUCAAUUUUUCAAUGCAUUUACUUGGUCAAUGACGUGAUUGUUAAAUAGUUAACCAAAACUAAUUCAUAUUUGCAUUAAAAUAUACUUAUAUUUUCAAUUCUAAAUUAAUUUAUAGAAUCUUAUCAUUAAAACUCAAAAUUUGGUCAUGAUUCUAGAUGAACAUAUAUUUGAUGUUCUAUUUUGUAAAAUUCUUGAUAGAUUUAAAACUUCAAUGGUUCAUACAUGUUGUAUUUGCAUCAAAUGAGUGUGUAGUAUUUGAUGUAAAUCGUGUUAGAAUUUAAAUAGGUAUUCAGUGAAUUUUUAGGUUAUAUCAUGUUAGAUGACACAACUACCUAGUUAUUAAAAGAGCGUAUCAAGUCACUAUUUUAUUUUUCGUAUCGAGUUCAAAUUUUAAUAUUUUAACAUUUUAUUUUUCGUAUCAAGUUCAAGUUUUAAUAUUUUAACACGAUUAUUAAAUAAGUCGUGUUUUAACCAACAUAAAUUUAAAACAACACAAAAUUGACACAAUAUGACUGGCUUAAUGACCUAUUUUGUUAGUUUUAUUUAAAACCAUCUAAUCUAUUAAAAAAAAAAAAAAACGGUCCAUGGGCCUAGCCCAAAUAUAAAUUCAACAAAACCAGCUCCCGCUCAAUCACACUCUCUCGGUCGUUCCCUUCACUCUCCAAAACCCCCCAUUCCAAACAAAACCCUCAUUUUUCCCUCUUAACGAAGUCACUUUCUCGAGAACCAAACAUUCCCUUAGAUCUCCAAUUUCAUAAUGAGAGAAGAAGAAAUAGAGAAACUUCGAGGAUUGGUUCGCGACUGUGUGAGUAAGCAUUUGUACUCGUCGGCCAUUUUCUUCGCCGAUAAAAUCGCCGCUUUGACCAAUGACCCUACUGGCCUGUACAUGCAGGCUCAGGCUCUGUUCCUUGGCCGCCACUACCGCCGUCCAUUUCACCUCCUUAACGCCUCAAAAAUUGUGCCCCGUGACCUCCGAUUUCGUUACUUGGCUGGUAAGUGUCAGGUAAAGUUCUGUUUUUUGAUUGCAUUAGAAAAUUUGAAUUUCAGAUUUUGUGAUUUGUGCUUUUUGCGUUUUUAGUUUUUUUUUUUAUGUUAUGAAAAAGGGAAAUUUUGAAAAUUUUAACUUGAAAUUCGUGUUCUUUUUAUUUUAGAACAAAAGAAUUUCAAUGAAAAAUAUUUGGAAAUUGAAUUGCUCUAGCAAAUUUGCAUGUGUUGUGUGUUUUAAGAAAAUGAAAACUAGAUUUUGAGCAAUUAAGGAGAGAUUAUGGACUUUGAGCUGAAUGGUUUUGAUCAAUUUUUUCUUGAAUGUUUAUUUGUUUAUACAACUGGGUAGUUUUUCUUUUACUUAUUUAUUUCUGGUCUGUCCUUUGUAUAAUUAGGAGGAACUGAAGGAGUGGGACUAGUGUUUGUCGAUGCUCGGUGAUGCUAAGGUCGAUGAAGAUGGUAAUGUUUUUGACACAAAGGAUAGCAAUGUCAUGUACUUAGAUAAAGAUGGGGAAGACAGAGAAAUCAAUGUAAGUUUUUGUUUGUAAUCUCAUUUUAUCUGGCCUUUUAUUUUUUAAUUUGUUGCAUAUUUGUUGUAUACUUGACCCAAUAUUUCUUUUUUCUAUUACAGAUCUCUUCAGCUAUAUGCUUUUUGAGAGGCAAAGCAUAUGAAGCCUCAGGAAAUUGUGCCCAAGCUCGGCUGUGGUUAGUUUCUUGCGAUGAAUUUACAUGAAAAUCACUCUGCUUAAUUGUAAAAUGCUUUAUGGUUAUUUUCCCUUAGUUUUUCAGCCAAAAUGAUACCAACUUAUACUGUCUAACAGUCUUCUGUUAUAGUAACUUAGGUGUAGUAAUUUAACGUACUGUUAAAGAAAGGAAAUGACUUUAUUGUUUUAAUGCGAGAAAUUUGAACAUUGUUAUAAACUUGUUUAAGUUGGGCAUAAGUAAAUUUAUCUUCAAUUUCAUUACUGAGCAGAUUUUGUUUGAAUGCAUGAAUGUUUGAUAUAUGUGUUUAAUAGCCAAGGAGUUUGUUUAGAUACUACUUUAAGAAUUAUCUAUAUAUAGAUUGGGUAGUCUAGAAAACUCUCCUUGAUUAAAUCAAUGUAUAAUUUUGAUAAGACAGUUUAAAAUGUUAACAUCCUAUGUCUUCUGGAGUCCAUUUGGUGACACAGGAAUGGUAGUGUAUGCUGGGAUGGUUUAGUUCAAUAAGGCUAUUAGUUCUGUUCUACUUUUUCAAAGAGGUUGAUUGCCAAAUUAACAGCCACAUGAAGGAGAUUGUCUUUUUUUUUUUUUUUGUGUAUCCUGAAUUGUUUUUGCUUCCAACCACAAUUCUGGUCUUCUAUUGGUUCACACUUCCUACUUCUAUCUCGAUGAUUUUAUCUGCAAUACCUCAUUACUAAAUUCAGCUCUAACAACAGAGGAACUUAUUUGCUUCCUCUUUAUCUUGUUCCAUUACUAGCUUUCAUGUGCAGCAUUUUUAGAAUGUUAAAGACUAAUAGUACAGAAAGGUGGUUUUAAAUCAAAUGUAACAAGAUUCAAUUGACAGAUCAGCUAUGCUUCACUCCAUGUGGUUACCUACACACCUGGAUAUUUGUUUUAGAGUUUUAUGCUGUCUGAAUUAGUGGCCUCAUUUUGUUAUCUGAUUGAAAGCUUGCAUGUAUUUCGGUAAGUUAGGUUCUUCCCUCAACUCUUUUUCUUUAGUAACUAUCAUGGUAUUGUUUUAUAACCUUAAUUAGUUUCUCUUUGGUUUUUCAUUUGUCAGUAUAUCUGCUCUAUUCUGUUCAAUUCCUUUUUCUCUAUUCUCUCAGUUAUGUUGAACUAAAACGCUGUAGUUCAUACAAAGGCUUGCUAUAUUUUUUCAUAAUGAUUUAAGGUACAAAGCAGCAAUCAUAGCUGAUCCUUUGUGCUAUGAGGUAUGCAUGACACGCUAUCAAUGUUUUUUUUUUCCUUUCCCCCUAGGGAUAAGCUGGUGGGGGGAGCGUCCCGUUCUCAAAAACUCCUUACCUUGAAUUUUGUGGCUGCAUAAAUUUCAGACAUGACUUUCUAUGCAAAAUAUUACAACCUGUGGAAACUGUUGCCUUCUCAAGGAUUAGAAAAUUACUCAAAAGAGGGCUAGAUUUUUUGAGCUAGGCUUGUCCCUUUUUUUUUUUUUUGUAAAUAGAAUUUUAAUCCUUUUCUUUAAUUUGACCUCUGCUGAUCACAUAGAUGUCUCAUCUGGAUGUUCCUUAUAAGAUAUAUCGAUCCUCAUUCUUUAUGAUUUUUUUUAUGGCUGUACCUUGAUUUCUUUUUCAGGCUUUGGAAUGCCUUAUAGGAAAUCACAUGCUAACAUGCGAGCAAGGUAAUGAUGUAGUUUUUUCCUAGUCAUCUGUUUCUUUCAUCUGAGAGAAGUGGAUUAUGAAAAUGUUUACAGUUUGAAUUAUAGUUCUUACAUAAGUGCGCACGCACACACACACACACAUAAAUGAAAUUAUAGUCACACACAAACAUGUUGAUAUAAAUUUAAUUUGGCAAAAAUUUCUUUGGCUGUGUUCAACUAGCAUUGGAUUUUUCAUGGAACAUGUUAUAAUAGGCUAAUACUUUAAAUUUUUGGAUUUGCUGUUGAAUUUCAGAAACAAGUUUACUUUCAUCAUUGGAAUUUGGUUUUGAAGAUGGAUGGCUUUCUUCAUUCUACUCAUGUUUGAUAAAAAAGGUGAACUGUGUGCAAAUUCAUUAUAUGCUCUUCCAAAUGUAAACAUUUCAAUAAUAAGUUUCCCAUAUGUUUUCGUGAUGUCGAUUCUUUUUGCUGUGUUUGAGUGCAGUGAACAAUUUCUUUCCUUCUUUCCUGUCUCCCUUUGUUUUAUGCAGUAUGACAAGGAGAAUGUUGUAGAAGCCAAAUUCGGAGAAAUUGAAAAAGAAAGAUGUGAUAGUGUCCAUUCGAGCCCAUCCUUCUCACACAGUCUGAAAAACAAUACUGAUCUUUUAGAGGGCUUAUUAUUCUGUCGACCUGCGAUACUAGAUUUCAGAAAUCUUCUCUUCACACAGUGUUCUUGGCUCUCUAAUUGUCAAAAAGUUGAAAAGCCUUUUUCUGUCUGAUGCAUCAUAUAUAUGCAGUUUAAUAUUUGUGGACUUCAAUAAUAUUGAUUACCUUGAUUAUAAUAUUUUCAAUUGUAUGGUUUUUGGGUUUCUUCUUGGUAGGAAAGAUUUUUGUCUUUUUCUUUUUUUUUGGCUUGAUUCUUCUUCUUUUAUUAUUAUUAUUGUUACUGUUUUCCCAUUCACCAAGGAAAAAAAUUGGAAACUUGGCUCCACCUCGCAAAAAGUUUUAGAGCGCAUUUUAAAUUCUCGAAUUUGGGGAAAUUGGAUUGGAGAAUUGGGAAUGAUUGAUUGGUGUUUUCCUUGGCUAAAAACAUUGAAAGAAUGACGAUCGGAUUUUUGGGUGGAGCUCACAAGUUGGGAAAUGAGGAUUGGGAAUCCCGUUGCCAAAGGGGAGGGGGGAAUGCAAACGGAAAUUAACACUUUUACCCUUAAAGAAAUUAAAAUUUUAUUUUUUUCCUUNNNNNNNNNNNNNNNNNNNNNNNNNNNNNNNNNNNNNNNNNNNNNNNNNNNNNNNNNNNNNNNNNNNNNNNNNNNNNNNNNNNNNNNNNNNNNNNNNNNNUUUGUCGCUCUUGUUAAUAUAUCCUUUGUGGAUUUCAUAUGAGGUUUGAAAUGUUAUUUAGUGAAAUUUAAUUUCUUGUUGGCUCUAUUCACCACAGCAAGGCUACAAAUCUUGAUGGGACAUUCGCCCCCGCUUGGAUAGGUUAUGGAAAUGCUUUUGCUGCUCAAGAAGAGGGUGACCAAGCAAUGUUGGGUUAUCGCACUGCUGCUUGUUUGUUUCCAGGGUAAUUUUUAGCAUUAUUUAUUCAUUUCUGUACCUUUCUGAUUUUCUUUUCCUUGGAUCAGCAUAUUCAUGCAAUGAGGACAAGGACAAAGCCACUAACUUGCUUUUGAGCAAGUUUCAGAACACUUUUAGAAUUUCAUUUUUGGCUUCUUUUUUUUAACUUUUUUGGUCUCUGAAAGAUAUCUUAAGGGUAGGGUUUGGUUGAUUUUGCUCAUCUUGAUUUCAUGUAAUCCAUGAAAUUUCUGUUGCUUCAGCUUAAUCUGUUUCAAGUGCGCUACCACUAUAAAAAUUGGGUUUCAUGGGUUAUCAACCAAGAUUUUUUUUUUCUCCUUUGAUUUAAUAUUAAUAAACUGUUUUACCAAUAUAAACUUUUGAUGAAUGCUUCGCAUUUGAUUUCCAUAUUUCUUCCUGAGAAAUGUUGUAAGUUGAUUAAACAUAGUCUUAAAUCGACCCAAGGCAUUGUUGUAAUGUCUUUCUAUUUUGAUAAUAAGCCACACUGUCAUAGUAGUUUUAUGGUCGUAAAGAUCAAUGAAUUUCAUUGUUUAUUGUUUAGUGAUGGUAUGCAUUGUGUUGUGGGAGUACUCUUAUCACUAUGAAUUGUCUUUUUACAGGUUGAAUCUUGAUGUUCUCUUAUUCCAGGUGCCAUUUACCAACUUUGUAAAUUGGAAUGGAGUACAUGCGAACUCACAGCUUUAAGCAUGCCGAACAGGUGUAUUACCUUCUUCUAAAUAUAGACUGCCUUUCAUUUUUCUCUUUAGAUUUCAGUGAGAACUCUUAAGAGGUUGUUUGUUUGCAAUAUGAAGUCUGAUUGUUGGAUAUUCAGAUGUUGGUCUAUACGAUUUGCUAGUUGAUGUUGUCUUGGGGGUUUCAUUUUCCUCUUUGGAUUUAAUGUGAAUACGACUUCUUUCCUCUUUGUUUAAUUGCGACAACUUCUAACAGAUGCUAAUCACAAUCUUUAUUCAUGAUUCUGAGACCUGUGUAAUUAGAAUUUUGGUCAUAUCGUCCAUUUUCCUUUGUUGUCAAAAUAAUGUCUUCUUUAUCCAAAUCUCUUAGUCAUAAUUCUUUGAAUAUAUUGUUGAAUUUCUGAUUAGCUGUCCUUUCUCCAGUUUUUCAUGCAGGCAAAGAACAUAUGCCCAUCAGAUCCACUUGUAUAUAAUGAACUUGGUGUUGUUGCUUACCACAUGAAGGAUGUUUGGUUCACUUGAGUUGCUGUUUUCUGUUGAUCCGUUUACUUUAUUAGUGUUUCAUUUUUAAUAAUAUUAUUACUUAAGGAUAUGAAAUUCUAGUUGAUUUAAACUUAGGUCUUGUUUGGUGUUGAGGUGUUGUAGAUUUUAAGCUACAGGUGUUGUGGAAAAAAGCUACAACUAUUAAAUAAAAGUUAAUAGCUUGUAGUAAAUAUAAUUUUUAAAUAAUAAUUUUGACAAAAUUAGUAAAGAUAUAAUAAAGUUUUCAUCAUACAAGCGUAAAAUCAAAUCAAGUUAACUUUCAAGCUACAACAACUGGUGUUUACCAAAUACUUUAGUACUUUAGUUUUUAAGCUAUAGUUGUUCAACUCAAUACCAAAUGGUGCCUUUCAGGAAUUGUGCUCUUUUUAUUGUUAUAUGUUAUGGCUUUUGUAUGAGUUCCCAAUCACCAGUUUGACCAGCAAUUAUUUGAAAUGUGUGGUGGUUUGAAAAGACCUUGGCGCACAUUCCGUCCUCUUUAAGUGAAAUGUGGGAACCAACUGUGGUGAAUCUUGCACAUGCUUACAGAAAAUUAAAGUAUGUUUAAAUUUAUUGGAAUAGGCUGUCUCACUUGCUUUUUCUUGUUCUAUUGCCUACUCAGGAUAUUUAUCCUUUAUUUUAUUGUGUUUUUGUUGAAUUUUACAUGAAAUAUCAUUCAGAUAUCUAGAUUUGUUUUUUUUUUUUGGCUAAAUUUUCAAAUAGAGGAUCAUCUUUAUCUUGAUAAAUGCAUUUUAUUUUAGGGAUUCCAGCAUAGGGUAAGAUUUUUCAGUUUGCAUCGUCUGAGAUUGUGAGCAGCAUGAAGAUAUAAGAAAGAAGUAUAACCUUCCUUAUACCGUCAUGGCUGCUUAUGGUCAGCUUUGCCCAGUAAGCUCGAGAGACUACUAGGAGCCGUAGAAGUUGUCUGUAGCACUUCCUAAAAGGACUUGAUGCAAAUAGUUUAAAUAAGGAUAUGCCGGAUUAUGGAUUGGUCUACUCUCUACUGGCUACUUCAUAUGCUACCCUUUUAUAUGUUUUUAUCUUUAUGGAAUAGUACUUUUUUUUCAUGUUUUUGCUUUUUUCCUUCUUAGUAGGCAGUGGGUUUAGGUUUAUUUCUAGUAUUGCUAAUCUAUAAACAUACAUUUGACUUAUUGUUUAUUGAACCUGAUUCUAGAAUCUAUCAUGUUUCAGGAUAUAUCACGAGGCAAUAUCCUGUUACGAGCGAGCGCUGAUGUUGUCGAAUAGAAGUUUGAGCACCUAUGCAGGUUGUGCUUACACUUACCAUUUGCAGGUAUGGUGGAUUUAUUAUUAAUUCAUUUUCAAUGAAAACUUGUGUGCCUAUGAAUAUUCUGCUGAUGUGAGGAGUAGUUAGCAAAUUGAUCUAAGUGGUAUUUGUUAGCAAAUACUAGUUUAUUGGAUGCAUCUAAUAUUUGCAGCUUAGGGUUUAAAAAACCAUUGUCAGAUCUUCACCGUUGCGUUCAAAAAACUGCUAGAGUCUAUGGUGGCGAAUUUGUUUCUUUUGGGUCUCUUGUGCAGGAUAACUUCUCUGCUGCCAUUACAUAUUAUCACAAGGUAAACUAAAAAGUACUCUUGCUGUUUCCUUUAUGUGCAAUAAGCGUACUGUCUAUCGUAGUCAUCCACUGUUGAAGAGACAACUCUAAUCUCGCUACAUUAUAUGGAUCAUUGAUUUGCUUUUUCAUUCUAAUCUGCAAAUCAGGCAUUGUGGCCGAAGCCAGAUGAUCAGUUUUGUACCGAAAUGUUAAGUUUGGCUCUUGUUGAUGAAGAUCGCCAUGGCAUUGACCCCAAAAUCGAAUUUGAGUGUAAUUUGUUAUUCAUACCUAUAACAGUUUAAUUAUUUUGGUAUUGGUGAAGGGCUUUUAUUGUAUAAGCUCAGGGUGAAGGGCUUUUAUUGUAUAAGCGCAGGGGUGUCAUCUUCAUCUAUAUUCUACCUUUUACAUUAUUAAUUUAUUUCCUCAUUUGUUGAAAUCUACUUGGCUUAGAAGUGAUUUAAAUUGCUUUCUUUCAUGGAACCAUUUUCUUCACAGUUUUUAUUAUUUACCACCAAACAGUUAAGUCCAUUAAGAAAUUAAUGAUGUCACAUGGAUAUUUCAAGAAUUUUAGUUUAUUAAGCUGGAAGUAUUAUAAUAUUUACAAUUUUAUCAAUUGAUCAAUUUGGAUAAAUAAAACAACCAAUUGAUAAAAGUAUUAUCUCUUUGUGUAUGAUUAACUUUAUUUUUUUAUUGAUUUGGAAGAUUAAACCUAUUUUCACAAUUUAGGGGUAAACCAGACUUUUAGUAUAAAUUCUAUUAAAAUUUUGUUAUUUUAGCAAGUAAAAUGUAAUAGUUGGAAUAUUAAACUGUAAAAAUAUAAUUAUUAAAAAAAUUUACUAAUAAAGUGAUAUAUUAGACGAAGUUAGGCGAUAAAGAGAUAACAUCCCUCUUAGGAAUUAAUUAUAUUAGUUUACAACCUUGUAAUCCUUUGUUAAGCAGCAAAGUAAAAUAUCUUUUAUUGAGUAUUUUUGUUUCCUAUUUAACACAUGCAAUCUUUUAUUAAAUGAAAAAAGAUUUUUUUUUUAAAAUAAAUAAAUAAAAGAGGAGCAAGGCCGAAAUCAAAAGAGUUAAAUUUCGUCGAGCCUCGUGUACUCAGUUUAGAAUUCUAAAUUCACAAGUCUAAUUAGGUUUAUAUUAUUAUUAUGAUAUUAGUUAGAAAGGCAGCUAGUAAGCAAGUCGAAUAAGACAGCUAUUAUUAUUAUUAUUAAGUUUUUUUGGCCUCCUGCCUUUCCUCUUAUGUGAACUUUGUUGAACGACUAAAGAAAGCAUCGGCUAAGCUUCUGAGUCUCAUCCAAAAAUUAUUGGUUUAUACCAAGAUUCCUAAUUGCUACCAUUUGAAUUGUUUUUCAACUUCUAGUUCUCAUAAUUUUGAGAACAAUGAAACAUGAAAAUAAUUGCUUUCUUUGGUGAUUGAUUGAUGUGAUUCUAUUUCAUUGGAUCAUUUUAUUGAAUCUAUUUUUUCAUUGCUACAACCAAAAAUGCUAGUGGGAUCUCUUUCUAGUUUCUAGAAGUACUCUAAUCGCCCUGUUCCUUCUUGAACAUUAAUUGUAGGCUUUUCUGCUACACAACCUUUAAUCUUUUUGAAGUUAGAAUCAAAAGGGGUUUAUCAAAUCUCGAUCCUCCCCAAUUUAGGAUUUCAUAAACAAAAAAUAACUUUGAGAAUAGGGAUCUCUUUUAAAAAAAAAUAAAUUAAUUAAGAAUAAGAGUGAACUACUAUGAAAUUAGUGAGUUCUAAUUAGUUUAAUUAAUAAAUCUUUAUACUAAACUAAGAGAUUUAGAUUUUAAUCAUGUUCACGUGCAUAAGUAGUUACCAAUAUUACUAUGUUUAAGAAAAGUGGUACAAUAGUUUGUUUCAUGUACAUUAUUUUAUUAUUUAUAAUUAAUUAUCACAUUUCUUUUUUUUUUUUAUUAUUAUUGGUUAAAUGAAUCACGAGAUCAAUGGUACGGAUUUAUGAUUGGGAUAUAAGGAAGAAAUCAAUAUGAACUAGCUAAGAAAAUGGAGGAUUAAAAUGAGAAUGGAACAUGAAUCUCUUAAAACAUGGGCAUUUGGUAUCUUGAAUUUUUCUAGUUUAUUAUUAUUAUUUUUGUCGUCGUCGUCGUCUUUGAGGGUGUUUAGGUCAAUUUAUAGUGUAGAUGCCGAUAAGUACAGAAUAGAUGAGUCAACAUAUGUUGAUAGGGAGGUGAAUUCUUUUUCUUUUUUUUUUAUCAUUUUUUAAUGAUUUUUUUUGUCAUUUAUUCUUUUAGCAACUUUAAUUUUUUUUUAAGACUUUUUGUUCUCAGUGGAAACACGAGAUGCACGUGAGGUGGUUGUUAAUUUAGGAGUUGAGUUGAGUUUUUUUACUGAACAUUAAAUUAAUAUUUAUUAAAUAAAAGAAUAAAAAGAUAAAAAUGUAAAAUAAAUUCUAUUAAUAUAUUGUUCGUAAAAAUUAAGUUCAAUAUUGAAUUCUCUAAUUCGUUGUUUAACCUAUAAUUUUGAAAAAAAAUAAAAAAUGGAAAAAAUAAAAAGAAAACAUAAUAAACUAUUAAACCAUAUGACGUUAUAAUAUGAAUACGUUAUCUUGUCACUUUCUUUUUAAGUUAUAUGAUUUUAUAAGUAAAUUUAGAGUCCAGUUAAAUUACAGGGUGAGUAAUUUACAACCCAACCACUUUGUACAAAUAUGAAUAUUUAUAAGAGGGGUCUGGGCUGCAAGUUACUACUAAUGCUUUAACUUAGCGAAAAACCUUAAGUCUAUCUUUUUUGGGAUUAUUUUCUGGGAGAUUGCCACUUUCUCCUUUACAGUAAUUAAUAUAUACCAUUUAUCCCUUUGUUAUUUUGAAAAUGAUAAAAAUCUCAUUGACAGUAUAAGUUACAAUAUUAUCUUUAUUUGUAACUACUCUUUUAUUUAUAUUUAUUAUAAAUUAAAUAAAUUACAUGAAUAUAAACUAAAUAAAAAAAUUAAGUAUUAAAAAUAAGAAAUAUAUGUUUUGAUAUGAGCAAAAAAAUUAAUAAUAAAAUUUUUUUCUUGUAAUUAUUUAUUUUGCAAACAUUUUCUUAUAAUAAACAUUUUGUAAUAUUUUAAAAGUAAAUGUAAAAAGUAUAGGCAAAAUAUUUUAUUAUUUAUCUUAUAAUAAAUUUUUAUUUGUCAUUCAAGUUUUCUUAUAAUAAUUUUUUUAUCAUUUUAUAAUAACUUUCUUAUAUAUUUAUUAUAAGAAAAUUUUUACAAAAUAAAUAAGUACAAGAAAAAAAUUCAUUAUUAAUUUUUUAUAUUAAAAUAUAUAUUUCUUAUUUUUAAUGCUAAUUUUUUAUUUAAUUUAUAUUUAUGUGAUUUAUUUAAUUUAUAAUAAAUAUAAAUAAAAAAAUAAUUAAAAAUAAAAAUAAUAUUAUAAAUUUAUACUAUCAGAGGAAUUUUUAUCCAUUAUAAAAAUAAUAAGAAAAAAUAAUAAAUGUUCAUUACUGUUGGGAGAAAUUCACAAUCUCCUUAUUUUCUCCAUUUGGAUAACAUCACUCGAACUUUAGUUGACCACGUGUCAACAUUUCAAUGGUUUCAUAUCAAAUUAUUAGCUGUGAAUUAUUGAGUGAGAAAACAUACCGGACCCCCAACUUUUGCUUUUACGUGAACAUGAAUCAGAUCCUCUUUUUUUUUUUUUUUUUUUUUUUUCUUUUUGAUAUAGUGAAUCAGAUUCUUGAAAAGCUGUGAAGUGGGGAGCGAUCGUUUAAGUUAUUUAAAUUUAAAGCCGGCAAUAAUUGAAGCCUUAGGAUUGUUAUUGAUUAUUACCUCCACCAAAGCUUUCUGAAAAAACAGAUUAAGAAAAUUUUUUUUUUUUUUGUUUUCCUCGAAACGACAUAAGACGAUCGCUCUUAAUUUUAAAUAACUCCAGUUGACUUACCGUUGAACUGGAAGGACAUAAGGAGAAUGACCUUCUCAUUUUCCAUCUGUCAUAAAAAUUUAUUUAAAAAAUAAGUGCAUAAACUAAGCCGGGCUUAACGUUUUAUUUUUAACCAAUAUAUAUAUAUAUAUAUAUAUAUAUAUAUAUAUAUAUAUAUAUAUUAUAGAAAAUGAUAUUUACAUCCCAAGAUUUAGGAAAAUAGUCACAAAAACUCUUGAGUUUUUAAUAAAGGACACCAAAACUCUUUUUGACCAUAAUGCCUUUUGACUCUAUAAAUCUAAAAAGAAAAAUAACUCUAAAAUUUUAUAAUGAAUAGAAAUAUGACAUUAAAAUAAAUGUAAUAAGAUAUACAUUUCAAAAUAAUUUUAAUAUCUAAAAAUAUUUUAAUAUUUUUAAUCUAUUAGACCUCUUUUAUUAUAUUAAAGCAAUUUUUAAUAAUAAAUAGAAACAAAAUAUUAAAAUAAAAAUUAUUUUGACUAUUAUGUAAAAGUUAAUUUUAAUAUUAUUAAUAGAGAGAUUUUUUAAAUUGUAAAAUCUAUUUAACCCAAAGAUUAUUUAAAAUCUUUUUAAUAUUACAAUUAUAUUAUUAAAAUAAAUAUAAUAAUCUAAAAUUUUAAUAUUAUUUUAAAUGUUAAAAAUAAUUUAAUAUUAUUAGUCUACCAAAUAGAUUUAUAUUAUUUAUAUAAAAUUUGUGUUAGUUAAAAAUUUUUAAAAUCAAUUUUUUAAUUAAUAUAAUCAAAAGUAAUUGUGGGCAAAAAAAAGUUUUUGUAUCUUUUUUUUAAGACUUAAAGAGUUUUUUGUAACUAUUUUCCCAAAUCUUGGAAUGUAGUUAUUCUUUUUCUUUUUUUAUCCCAUCUCAGUUUUUUUACAAGUAUUCAAAUAUUAGUACGUGAAAUAUAUUUUAAAAUAUCCAUCAAUUUAUUAUUUCUUAAAGUACCUUUUAUUAAUAAAUAGCAUAAUACACACGAAGCACCAUUGAUAUUGAUGUUCAUACAUCUGAAUCAAUUUUCGAGUCUACGUCAUGAUUUCUACGUCACGAAUUCUCUUAUUUAAGGCAAACCUCAUAGAGGCAAUCACAAAACAUGAAGAAAAUUGAUUUUGUUCCUAGUCCUCACUUUCUAAAAAGAAUUUUUGUUGAAGCUAUAUAUAUAUAUAUAUAUUGAAUCUUUUGAAAAAAAUUGCUUCCUGAGCAUAUGAUUUCUUGCUGGGUUUCUUCAAUUGCUCUUCUUGUUCAGUUGUUAAAACUUUCCAGUUUCCUCUCUGUAGUACAAAGAAUAUUUGAUCAUUGAAGUGCCACCUUCGUAGUGUUAAUUUCGGUGAUGGAGUCCGCUGCUCAAGUGAGGGAUAUCGAUGCUUUGUAUGAGCUAAUUCGACAUGAUCAAUAUUUUUUGGACAACUUUGACGAGAAACCUUUUGUCGAUACUCCUUUGCAUGCUGCUGCAAGGGAUGGAAAUGUUGAAUGGUCCAUGGAGAUUAUCAGACUAAAGCCAUCAUUUGCCAGGAAGCUAAACCAAGAUGGCUUCUCUCCGGUGCAUUUAGCUUUGCAAAAUGAUCAAACUCAGUUAGUGCUUCAGCUGAUAGAUAUUGAUCCGGACCUUGUUCGUGUCCAAGGAAGAGAAGGCAUCACUCCUUUGCAUUUCGUGUCUGAAAAAGGAGACAUCCAUCUGUUGAGGGAAUUUUUGUCUGCUUGUCCGAAAUCUCUUGAAGAUGUGACCAAUAAAGGCGAGACUGCUCUUCAUAUUGCUUUGAAAAACAAUAACGUCGAAGCUUUUGAUCAAGCCUUAACAACAGUACAACCACCGUGGUUUGACCUUGAAGAAGCUCAACAAUACAAUCCAGGAAUCCUCAACUUGAAGGAUAGGGAUGGCAACACUUUGUUACACAUAGCAACAUCCAAAAGUCAAGUCCAGGCAAGCUCGAAUUCACACACACACAUAUAUAGAAAUUUUCCAAUGAGGUGCAGGCACCCUCAUUUUUUCCUUUUUAAUAUAGACAUGCUGUCUUUUCUUUUUUAAUAUAGACAUGCCGUUAAAUCACGUGCUUUAAUAUAGAUAAUUCUUAAUUCAUUAUAAAGCCAUAUAUUUUAAUAGCAUACCUGUAUAUAGUUUAAUAACGUAUCCGCAUGAGAAAAAAAUGAAAGUGUUUGCAUGAAAAAAAGGACUAUAUAAAUAUAUAUAUAUAUAUAUAUAUAGUAUCUAAUGAACUUAUCUUUAUUUCAACAAAGUAAGGAUGCCAUUAAUAAAUAUAAAAAGAAAAUCUUGAAUAAAUUAAAAUAUGUGUUCUUUUGUAUUUUAUUUACAUCUUUACUUCAUUAAAGUUUCUCUCAUAUACGGUCACAAAUAAAAUUCACAAAUAAAAUUCAGUUGAAUGAUGAUUAGACAGAUUAUUGCUAUUUCCACUUCCUGAUGAUGUCUAAAUUGAUGAAUUUGCUCAUCCAAAGCAGAUUGUAAGGCGUUUAUGGAAUUGCAAAGUUGAUACAAAUGCCCAGAAUUCGGAAGGUUUGACACCUUUAGAUAUUUCAUUACUUGAUCAAACUAAAUCAGAAAACCAAGAGAUUGCGGCAAAGCUGCGGGAAGCUGGAGCACUAGAGGCAACUUCACUUCCUACUACCGACAAGGAUAGACAUUUAUCGAGGUAACAGGAACACUGCUCUUUUACUAAAUUACAGUCCAUUUAUCGAUUAUCUUUUUAAAAACAAUAUGGCAUUUUCAUACUAUGUACAUCUCAAAAAUUGUUUAAUGUCCUUCAGAAGUAAGGAUCAGAGGCUGAACGAGGCUGCUAAAACAGGAAAUGUUGAUGCCUUGUAUGAAUUAAUAUGUGAGGACGCAUAUCUUUUAGAUCAGAUAGACGAAGUACCAUUCGUGGAUACUCCUUUACAUAUAGCAGCAUCAAUGGGGCAUGUCAACUUUGCCCUGGAGAUAAUGAGGUUAAAGCCAUCAUUUGCAAGAAAGCAAAACCAAUAUGGAUUUAGUCCCCUGCAUCUUGCUUUGCAGAAGAAAGAUACCCAAAUGGUGCGUCGGCUCAUAGAUGUGGACAGAAAUCUUGUUCGUGUCCAAGGAAGGGAGGGUGUAACGCCUCUACACUAUGUUGCUGAGAAAGGAAAUGUCGAUAUUCUAUGCCAACUUCUAGAGGCUUGCCCUGAGUCCAUCACAGAGGUGACAAUCCGUAAAGAGACUGCUUUGCAUGUUGCUGCAAAAAAUGACCAGUUGGAGGCCGUUGAGUGCAUGCUAGGAUGGCUUCGAUAUGUCGAUAUGGAGGAUAUCCUUAACUGGACGGACGAUGAAGGCAACACUUUAUUGCAUAUCACAAUCUCCAAAAGUCAAAUAAAGGCAUGAAAUUUUUUUAAAUUUUACUUCAGUUAGUCCCUAUAUUUUCAUGAUUAUUAAUUGCAUGCAUAUAUAAAUAUAUCCUUGCAGUUGGUGAGGCUACUAGUUAAAAGAGCACGUGAUCAAAUAAAUGCUCGGAACUUAGGCGAUAAGACACCCAUGGACAUGGUAGAAGAACAUUUGCGAGGGAAACCUGAAUUUAAAGAAGUAACACGCAUGGUGCGCAAAGCUGGCGGCCGACAAGAGUCCUCCCCUCCUCCUCGUAGGGACGUUGCAGGUUACUUAAAACAAGGUUUGACAUGUCGUCGAAAGGUGCUUUUGUUCUUUUACCGCUCAUCACAGCGCAUUACGGAUGAAAAUCGAAGCGCACUACUUGUGGUUGCUAUACUAAUCGCGACAGCCACAUUCCAAGCAGCGCUUACCCCGUCUGACGAUCUUGAGGGAAAUAAGUCAACUGGAACCCCCAACUCUAUUGCCACUAAUGGAUCACACUCAUCAUCGACAUCGGCAUCGACGUGGGCAUCAGUAUGGGCAUCAGUAAACCAAUCAGGAACAGCAAAUGCAACGGCCUUUGGUGUGAGCAAUGGAACCAGCAGCAGCAUCCCAACAAGUGACAAGAUUCUAUUCGCUCCGGGGCAAUUAUAUCCUGAAGCCAUUAGUGAUACGAUCUCCACACUUUUCGCAUUUUCAAAUAUUACAGCAUUUUUUAUAUCUAUGCUGGUGAUUAAUUAUCACCUCCCGUAUGGCUCCGCAGCUACUCUGGUAUAUCCUCUAGUUAUUUGCUUUUGCCUGUUAGUGGUUGGCAGAACCCCGGUGUCGCUACUUGCCUCACUUUCAAUGCUUAUCGUCUUUCGGAUUUGUUUAUUUGUACAACUGGACUUCUCCAAGAUUCGAUUUAGACGAAGCUUCUGGAUUACACAAGUUUUGGGCUCCGUUUUCAAACAUUAUAGAAGCUUCCUCAAUAAGAUAAUGAAAGAUGCUGAAAAAUAGCUAUAAUGCCAAUAUGCUGCCAUGGAUAAAACACAUGUCCGUUGGUCUGUUGAUGUUCUCUGCUGGCUUGGCUUUAUCUACUUAGUGUGACACUUCCUCUCAAGUAAUAUUGCUGGUUUUAUUUUGCGUAAGAAGGUGUGCUUUUGUGUACUGUAUUUUCUGAAUUAUGUUCGUUUGCUUUUGCUUCAUUUUGUAAGGUCUUCGCAUGUUUCAAUGUAAUAUUAAUUACUCUUGUUGUAUCUGAUAGUUGUACUGUUCACCUUCGUGACUGUGAAUAUAAUGAUGUUAAUUUAAUUAAAACUAUAUGCUUGUUUGUUUGAUAAGAAAAUGAAGGAAAAUUUAUUGACUUAGAGAGGAAAAACAGAGAUUGAAACUAUAUGCAUCUGGAACUUUCCAAGUGUAACAGAAUCAUAUACACACUCUCUGAUAUUCACCAUAACAAUUUGGUGGGAAAUAAAAAACUUUUAACAACUUGCAUUACAAUCUUCCAGUAGGUUCCAGCAGCUUGUCCAGCUUGGCAUCUGACAUCAAUUAGUUGACUCAACUUAUUCUUAACAAAUUUUUAUGAACAUAUGAAAUAUCAAUAUCAUUGGGCUUUUGAUGCUCCCACCCACAGGCUACUUAAAAUUGUACCUAUAAAAGUCUGUUAGAAGAAAAGCUGAUUCAAAAUACUUACGGCAAUAUAUGAAGAAAAACAAUCAACAAACAGCAAACACACAAACAUAGCAAUAAAAGAAGACAAGGCAAUGUUUGAUGAGAUUAAAAAGCUGACACAUGUAGCAUAUAUAUUUACGUUUUCUUGGAGAGAGGAAACCGCUGUUGGAUCUUCAUUGAUGAACCCUUCAACAGGCCUCCAAAAGGCUCUGCUGGGUCAUAAUAAAUCGCAACAUCCCCUGGCCUAAUUGAUUCAUCAACCUAUGUAUCAGGUUUUUCAUUCAUCAGCAAAGAGUUUCAGCAAUUGAUCUAAAAAAUAAAGACUGCUUUUGACACUCUAUAUAUAUGUGUGUGUGUGUGUGUGUCUUUUCCAGACAUUAGCAGAUCUAAAAUACUGUAGUAGAACAUACAUACAUAUGUAUAUGUAUAUAUAUCCAGCGGCUCAUGGAGCCCUUUUUCUUUUUUUCUUUUUAUUUUGCAGGCUGCACGUGGUGGGAGCGCCCUUUAUCCUCCUCUUUUUUUUUUUAAUUUUGCAGGCUGCGCGUGGUGGACCUUUGAUGUCCCGCAUCGGAUUACUAUCCUCUCUCUCUCUCUCUCUAUAUAAUUGUCCAGUUAUUUCUAAAUUUUAAGCAAUUUAGAUUUAGUGAUGAUUUAAAUGUCAAAAUUUAAAAUUUUUAUUUUUCUUUUUGAAAUUUCGAUAUCCAAGAGAUUGCAGUAAUAAUAACCCAAUUAAACUUCCACCAGUGAAACCACUUCUCCAUGAGAUCUUAUUGUAAAUGCACAAAAAGUUGAGGGUACCAUGCAUAUACAGGAGCGCCGUAGCUGAACCCUCAAAUUAUUUAAUUGAGGACAAAUUGUAAAAAGAUAACCUUAUUAUCGAAGUCAUGGAGUUCUAAUAUGAAAAUGGCUAUAGCUUUCUAUUGGAACAGAAGCCUGUUAAAAUAUAAUAUUUCUCUCUAAAAUCAUCUAACAAAUUAAUAAUGAAGAUUUCUUUAUAAUGUUGUAUGAGUUUUUAUAGUAUUAAUAGUCGAAUUGUUGUAGAUUCUUGAAUUUUAAUGUUUUAAUCUCUACCAUUCAUUUGAUAUAGUGGAUAAAAAAAAUUAAUUAUUUAAAUAAUAACAGGUAACCUUCAGGUUGCAAGUAAAUGUGGAUUUUUUUUUUUAAAGAAAAUUUAUAUUAUGUUGGAUAAAAACCCCACAUUCAAUGGUGGGAUCAUUUGAUUUAAUAUUAUAAUCUUUACCCUUAAUUUAAUUUUAAUAGUUAAGUAAUUAUGUAGCAAAUAAUUUGCAAGUUGUGAUAUUUCUUCAUACUUUAAAUUAUUUUUUAUCUAAUCAACUGAUAAAUACAAAUAAUUAAUUUUGGAAUUAAAAUUGUUAUGUACUGGUUCUAUCACUUUACAAUUUUACAUUUUUUUUUUUGCUUUUACAUUUAGCAUUAAAAAUAUAUGUAAUAACAUUAAAAUAAAUGUAAUUAACCAGUAAUAUUAUUUCAACAAUACUUUAUUUAAAGAUAUUUCAUAAAAUCUUAUAACAAUUUGUAUUGUAUGAAUUUAAUUACAAAGCCAUUAAUACUUAGACAAUAAUGAAUUGGCAAUGGAGAUUAUUAAGCUAAAGCCUUCAUUUGCCAAGAAGCCCAACCAAGAUGGCUUCUCUCCCAUGCACUUGGCUUUGCGAAAAUGGUCAAACUCAAACAGUGCUUCAGUUGAUAGAUACUGAUCCGGAACUCGUUCGUGUUAAAGGAAGGGAAGGCAUCACUCCUCUGCAUCAUGCGUCUGAAGAUGGAGACCUGUAUCUCUUGGAGAAAUUUUUGUCUGUUUGUCUGAAAUCUCUUGAAGAUGUGACAAAUAAAAGCGACACUGCUCUUCAUAUUGCUUUGAAAAACGAUAAGGUUGAAGCUUUUCAAGUCCUAACAAGAUGCCCUCCGUCGGUCAUUGGCCUUAAAGAAGCUGAUCAAUGCUACAACAAAAGAAUCCUCAACUCGAAAAAUAGGGAUGGCAGCACUCUGCUACACAUUGCAACAUCAAAAAAUCAAGUCCAGGCAAGCUUGAAUUAAUAUGCUAAAAAAAUCGGUUGAGUGAUUACAUUAUUGAUAUUGCCACCUGUUUUUUGUUUUAAAGUUUCAGAGUUUGUAUAUUACAUAGUGUCGCGCCUUCUAUUUUUGUGAGCUGUAGAGCUCUCACUCACACCUAACUUACUUAGGACCGUUUUCUAAGUAUUUAGGGAGUAGAUGAUUCCUAAUUAAUUAGAUUAGGAGUAAGUUUUUCUAAAGAUAAUCAUGCACAUAUUAUUAUGUUUUCCCUUUUAAGUAUGGUUUCUUCUCAUUCGAUUAGGAUACCUUAUAGUAGCAAUAUUACUUAAGACUUGUAUAUAAAGACCUCUUUGCAAGCAUAUAAUACAACAAGAUCUAAGCCAUAAUUAAUUUGCUCUCUAAGUUCCCACAUUCUCUCUUUCUUUGCCGUGAUGCUACAUUAAGAGUGUGAAAAUCAGAAAAAGGACAAAAGACCCCUGUGGUUUAGUGAAAUAGUUAUGAAACCUACUUAUUUUUAGAAAUAAUCAUAAAUACACCUUUUAGGAUACACAAACCCAAUUUAUUUGCCAAACUUUAGGGGUCUAUAUGACUUUUCUAAAUGUGAAAAUGAUUUACAUGUCCCCAAAAGGGGUAAUGUCGGACUAUUUCUGAAAACAAUCAGUCUCUAUAUGAUCAAUUUACUGAAUUUAUGAGUGUUGAUGUCUUUUUUCCUACUACAUCUUAUAGCUUAAACACAGACUCACAAGCAAAUAAAGAAUUGAUUUUUUCCAUAUUAAACAUGUCUCAUUACGUUAUUCUAGUUUUGUACCAUAUUGUUACAUUCCUUCAUCAUCUAGACCUAAUAUCAAUGGCUUUCAAUCAAUUACAUUACAUUACAAAAUGAUGUAGAAGAUAUCAUAUGAUAUUUGUCUUAUUACAGUAUUACACAUGACAUUGCAACCUUAAUUAAUAUAAUCAACCUAGAGUGUUCUUGCUCUACAAGUUAUACACUAGGUGAAAUCAUAGCCCUUGAUUUUGACACUUGAUGAAGAUUCAAUCAUUACUUGAUAACUUGUAGAAUUCAAAUCAAAUGCUUCUCUGAAGCAUUUCAUCAAACAACUUAUUCCAAAUAUCAAACACCCACUCUUUUAACUUCAAAACUACCUAACGACUUUGUAUUCACAUGUCCCAGCAGAUUGUAACGAGUUUAUUGAACUGCAAAGUUGAAAUAAAUUCUUUGAAUUCUGAUGGCUUGACACCUUUAGAUAUUACAUUACUUGAUCAAACUCAGUCAAGAAAUCAGGAGAUUGAGGAUAUGCUAUGCAGCGCUGGAGCAUUAGAAGCAACUCCACUUCCUAUUAUGGCCAACUGCACAAAUGUAUUGAGGUAAAACAACUCUUUUGCUAAACUAUGGUCCAUAUAUGGAUAAUAAUUUUAAAUAAUAUAUUUCAUUAAUUUGCAUUUUCCAUGUUAUGCACAUUGUAAUUACUUGCUAAGAAUAUUGCUUAAAUCAAUUAAUUAAUGUCCUUCAGAACGGAUCAGAGGUUGAACGAGGCUGCUCAAGUAGGAAAUGUUGAUGCCUUGUAUGAAUUAAUAUGGGAGGACGCAUAUCUUUUAGAUCAGAUAGACCGGGUACCAUUUGUGGAUACACCUUUACAUAUAGCAGCAUCGAUGGGGCAUGUCAACUUUGCCUUGGAGAUUAUGAGAUUGAAGCCAUCAUUUGCAAGAAAGCAAAACCAAUAUGGGUUUAGCCCUUUGCAUCUUGCUUUGCAGAAUUCACACACUCAAAUGGUGCUUCGGCUCAUAGAUGUCGAUAGAAAUCUUGUUCGUGUCCAAGGAAGGGAGGGUGUAACGCCUCUACACUAUGUGGCUGAGUGAAGAAAAUAUGAAACGAAGUGUUUGGCUUAAAAGAAAAUAACAGAGAAAAUAAUCUUCUGAUUUUCCAGAACUUUUAUUUUCAUAUAAAGAAUGAUUACAUCACUUCUAUUUAUACUAACUAAACAAUAACUAAUUAAGAAUCAACUCCAGCUAAUCAUUUUUUCAGUACACACUGUGAGUAAUAACAAACUUUAACUAAUUAUGCUAAGCUAGCAGUCUGGACUGUUGCGUUGCUUAACAGCUUCUGAUAGUUUGACUUGAGUUGACCCAAGCUUUGUUUUCUCAUGCUCUGCAUAAUGUGCUUCCUUAACACUGAGAAGGGAAAUGUCGAUCUUCUAUAUAAAUUUCUAGCAGCUUGCCCAGAGUCUAUCCUGCAGGUGACAAUUCGAAAAGAAACUGCUCUGCAUGUUUUUUUCGAAAUAUUAGAGGGACUUUUAUCCAUAUGUCUAAACGUUGUGAGUGUGUUAGUCUUUUUCCCUAUUUACAAGUACAAUUGUAAAUUUAUUUUCCCAUUCUUCUUCCCUUCUCUUCAAAAUUCAGCCCGAUUUUCUCCAUUUAAUCAUUCGCAUCUACAACAUUGCAAAUCUAGAAUUAGAAUUAAAAAUUCUUAUGAUUUUCCAAUACCAAUAAGUCAGUAAAUCAACUAUUAUAGUCAAAACCAAACCCUAAAAUAAAAUUAUCAUUUUUUUCCUUCAUCCUGUUCUCAAAAGGGGUUAUCUUUGUUGCUAGGCAUGUGGUGUUUAACGAAUCAGAAUUUCCUUUCUCUACGGAUCCUCAAUUCUCUAAGCAAUCUUCUACCUCUGUUUCCGAGUAUAGACAUCCUAUGUUUAAAACUUCUUCUGUGUUAGUUCUGCUACAUGAUCCUUCAGGCUCAAGUGACAACACUGUACAACAGCUUCAGCUCCAUGCAGUUCCAGCUUCCUCUUCUUCCUCUAGUUCUUCAUCAUCAUCACCUUUACCUCCAAAUCCAUAUUUCCCUGAUCCUUAUCACAAUAUGUCCCAUAAUUCCCAACACUCUUCUUCUUCUACAUCUAUUGUGCCUAUUCCACAGCCUUCUGUCCCUGCUCAUGUACCAUUGGCAACUCAUCCAAUGGUUACAAGAGCAAAAGCAGGAAUAUUUAAGCCAAAGUUUCUUGCAUAUUCUUUUGUUCUUGAAGAACAUGAACCUGCUACAAUUUCUCGAGCUCUCUCAAAUCCUAAACGGAAAGCAGCAAUGCAGGCUAAGUAUGAUGCACUCAUGAAAAAUGAAACUUGGGUUCUUGUUCCAACCUCUCAAGCUACUAAAGUUGUUGGUUGUAAAUGGGUGUUUCACAUUAAGUAUAAUGCAGAUGGCUCUAUAUCUGAGUACAAAGCUCGUUUGGUUGCAAAUGGGUUUCAUCAAACCCCUGGUAUUGAUUACUUUGAGACUUUUAGUCCAGUGGUUAAGCAAUCUACUAUGAGAAUUGUACUUAGUCUUGCUGUUAUGAAGAGCUGGAAAAUAAGGCAGAUAGACAUCAACAAUGUUUUCCUUAAUGGGCAGCUCAAUGAAGAUGUUUACAUGUUUCAACCUGAGGGAUUUGUCUAGCUUUCAUCUGGUCAUGUUUGUAAAUUGCUUAAGGCUCUUUAUGGUCUAAAACAGGCUCCUAGAGCCUGGUUUGAUUGGUUAAGGAAAGCAUUGUUGAAGUGGGGGUUUCAGAGCUCAAGAACAGAUUCAUCUUUAUUCUUUAAACAUGAACUUGGAGGUAUUGUUGUUGUGUUGAUAUAUGUUGAUGACAUUCUUAUUACUGUAGAUAAUAAUACAGUGAUUGAAAGGUUCAUCAAAUAUCUUGGAGAUACUUUUGCUUUAAAAGACCUUGGUGAAUUCAAUUACUUCCUUGGUAUUGAAGUUACUCAAGGUACAGAGGACAACUUACAUCUCUCACAAGCCAAAUAUGUAAGAGAUUUGCUCACAAAAACUGCAGAGAAAGUGAUACUCCAAUGAGUACAAGACAGAAACUAAGAAGAGCAAGAAAUGAAGAUAAUUUGAUUGUUAAUGUUACUGAAUAUAGAAGCAUAAUAGGUGCAUUGUAGUAUUUGGUACUCACAAGGCCAGAGCUUGCUUUCUCAGUAAACAAGUUGAGUCAAUUUCUUGCUGCAUCUACAGAGAAGCAUUGGACUGCUUGUAAGAGAAUUCUAAGAUACUUAAAGACAACUGAGGAUUAUGGCUUGCUAUUUAAACCAGGUGGUGGUGUUGUCUUAACUGCAUAUACUGAUGCAGAUUGGGCAUGUGAUGUUGAUGAUAGGAAAUCAGUUGGAGCAUAUUGUGUUUAUCUUGGGCAAAAUCUUAUUUCAUGGUCUUCUGAGAAGCAACAAACAAUAGCUAGAUCUAGCACAUAAUCAAAAUAUAGAGCAUUAUCAACAUCAUGUGCAGAAAUCGUUUAGGUUCAGGCUUUGCUUGGUGAACUUAAUAUUAAGUGCAAUCAAACACCAAUAAUCUGGUGUGACAACAAUGGUACUGCUGCAUUGACAACAAAUCCAGUAUAUCAUGCUAAAACCAAGCACAUAGAAUUAUAUGUACAUUUCAUAAGAGAGAAUGUGACAAAUAAACAAGUGGAAAUCAAGUAUGUGCCUAGUGAAUGGAAUAUUGCAGAUGUGCUUACAAAGCCUAUGGCUUACUGCUUUUUUAAUUACUGUAGGACAAGCUUAAUGUUGUUUCAUGACCGUUAAGCUUGAGGAGGAGUGUUAAGAUGCUUAAUCAACAGCAGUAGACCAGUGGCUGAGAUUUGUGCGACAAGGAUUGCUGAGCUGGACAAAUUAGUUAAGUUGUUGUAAUUAGUUUUAGUUUAGCCAAUAGAUGUAUUACAGUUGUACAAAAGGUUGUUAUUACUGUUGAUCAACAAUAUAAGUUUGCUACGAGCUAAAUGUAAUUCAUAUAAUUCAUAUCAAUAAAAUUUUCUCUGAUUUAGUUACUUUUCUUUCUUCUUUCCGUCACUUUCCUACUAACCAAACAAACUAUCAACCUAAGAUCCGUGAGUUCUAACUUUUACAAAUGUAAUAAUUACCAUGAAUUUACAAAAACUUGCAGCAAAUAUUUGUGUCCCAAUAGGUUGACAAUUGCAACACAUAUCGAAAAACUGUAAUAGUACCCUUCAUUAUAAUUACUUGACCAUAGUCAGUGGCGAACUAUGUAUACGCCUGGCAGCCGAGGUGUCGAGAAUUUAAUUUAACAGGGGUGCCUAAGUUCAAACACUAACAUAAUUUAAAAAAUGGUCAAUAAAUAACAAAUAUUAAAAUAUUUAGGGCUAGUUUGGUAAUCUUAUAACUUUUAAAAUAAUUGUUGUUACUUUCGCUGUAAAAAUAAUAAGUUGUGAAUAGAAUUAGUUAAACGUUUGACAAAAUUUCUUCUUAAAAGUGCUUUUGUAAAUCUCAUUGUUGAACUAUUAUAAGAGUUUAAAUGAUUAAAAUGGACAUAAUAUUA